rnacentral:rRNA from 1 species
GACGAACGCUGGCGGCGUGCUUAACACAUGCAAGUCGAACGAAGUGGCGCACGGGUGAGUAACGCGUAAUCAACCUGCCCUUCAGAGGGGGACAACAGUUGGAAACGACUGCUAAUCCCGCAUACUGAAGGAGGGGAUUGCGUCUGAUUAGCUAGUGGGAGGGGUAACGGCCCACCAAGGCGAGGAUCAGUAGCCGGGCUGAGAGGUUGAACGGCCACAAUUGGACUUGGACAAGGCCCAGACUCCUACGGGAGGCAGCAGUGGGGAAUUUUCCGCAAUGGACGAAAGUCUGACGGAGCAACUCCGCGUGAGGGAUGACGGCCUUCGGGUUGUAAAGCUCUGUUAAUCGGGACGCGGUACCGGAAGAGAAAGCCACGGCUAACUACGUGCCAGCAGCCGCGGUAAUAC